rnacentral:rRNA from 1 species
GUCCAGACUCCUACGGGAGGCAGCAGUGGGGGAUAUUGCACAAUGGGGGAAACCCUGAUGCAGCGACGCCGCGUGGGCGAAGAAGUACUUCGGUAUGUAAAGCCCUAUCAGCAGGGAAGAAGAAAUGACGGUACCUGAGUAAGAAGCACCGGCUAAAUACGUGCCAGCAGCCGCGGUAAUACGUAUGGUGCAAGCGUUAUCCGGAUUUACUGGGUGUAAAGGGAGCGCAGGCGGCACGGCAAGCCUGAUGUGAAAGCCCGCGGCCCAACCGCGGGACUGCAUUGGGAACUACCGGGCUGGAGUGCCGGAGAGGUAGGCGGAAUUCCUAGUGUAGCGGUGAAAUGCGUAGAUAUUAGGAGGAACACCAGUGGCGAAGGCGGCUUACUGGACAGUAACUGACGUUGAGGCUCGAAAGCGUGGGGAGCAAACAGGAUUAGAUACCCCUGUA